UAUGCUUGUGAUUGUUUUGUGUUACUGUUUUAUUUUAAUAUAGAAUAUGCCUGUCACGGUGCCCCCGGCUGGGCCCGCGUCAUCUCAUCCACCUGUUGACAACGGCUGUGCCUCAUCAGCGCCAUCAGGAUCCAGGCUCUUAAGGAGGACCAGGACCUGUACUCGACGCUAGUUCGUUGUACUCCUCGGACUCUUGCCGUCAUCAGGAACCUACGGUCGCACUCACCUCUCGCUGCCUCUCGUCUUGGCGUCUCGUUGGAAGAUCCUCGGACCACGGUGUUCGCCCACAAGAACCUCCAACCAGCUCCUGUGGAUUUCUCCCCUGUUAAUUCUACCUCCAGAAUUAAAGAAUCUUUGAACUUAC